rnacentral:rRNA from 1 species
AAUGAACGCUGGCGGCGUGCCUAACACAUGCAAGUCGAACGAGAAAGCCCGCAAGGGUGAGUACAGUGGCGCACGGGUGAGUAAUACAUAGGAAUCUGCCUCUGAGUGAAGAAUACCCUAGAGAAAUUUAGGUUAAUACUGCAUAAGCCCAGAAAUGGGGAAAGGUGGCCUCAAGCUACCGCUGAGAGAUGAGCCUAUGGCCUAUUAGCUAGUUGGUAGGGUAAAAGCCUACCAAGGCGAGGAUGGGUAGCCGGCCUGAGAGGAUGAUCAGCCACACUGGGACUGAGACACGGCCCAGACUCCUACGGGAGGCAGCAGCCAGGAAUCUUGGGCAAUGGGCGCAAGCCUGACCCAGCAACACCGUGUGGGCGAUGAAGGCCUUCGGGUCGUAAAGCCCUGUUGAUAGGGACGAAGGGCGAAGGGUUAAUAGCCCCUAGCCUGACGGUACCUUUCGAGGAAGCCCCGGCUAACUACGUGCCAGCAGCCGCGGUAA